rnacentral:tRNA from 1 species
GGAAGUGGCUCAGUUGGUAGAGCACAACCUUGCCAAGGUUGGGGUCGCGGGUUCGAGUCCCGUCUUCC